UAAAUACAUACUCAUCAUAUAACAAUUUUUUUUAUAUAUAAUAACAUAAAUAUUGUUUAUAUUUAAAGAGAAAUUACAAAAUUCUUUAAAAAUUAGGCGAGUGUCGUGGAGGAAGGGGACGGAAAAGAAAAUAACGUAGCUGACGUCUGAUGUUGGAUCGCAGUUGUGAAAAUUGAAAUAGUUGAAGUUACACCUCAACUAGAUUCUGUUGAGAGAAAGGCGCAGAGAGAAGAGAAAAGAAGAGAGGCAUGAUGCUAGUCCGAAGAUCUAUGCGAUACUCGUUUCUCUUGGCCUUGACCUCUCUGCAUCUGCAACUCCUUUCUGGCCUAGCCAAUAACCCUUCAGAUCCCAAAAAUGAAAAUAAAGACGUGAAUCAUCAUCAUGCUUCAAGAAGCUCCGUGGGGCUCAAGAUAAUUAUUAUAUGCCUUGGUGUGGUGACAGUCAUAGCAUUCUGUGUUUUUCUUUUCAAAUUAUGGCAAAGGAAGAAGAGAGAAGAGCAGCAUGCUCGUCUUUUGAAGCUGUUUGAAGAUGAUGAUGAACUUGAGGUAGAACUUGGUAUGCGGGAUUGACAAUUUAUCUCAUUCCUUUUUUAUAGAAAAAAAUGCGCAUCAUUUUCGUGUCAACUAGGCUACUCUCUUUCACCAUUCAAAUCUAGCAUGGGUUAUUUUGAAAAGUUGAAAUCAGGCAUUGGCUUGUCACCAGUUUGCUCCUCUCCUGGUUUAGCACGGGAGAUUUAGGGUUCAAUUCUCAUCUUCUCACUUGAUGAGAACAAGAUGAAGCAAGUUUAUAUUUUAUUAUUGUAUACUUAUUUGUAAAUCAUAUAUUGGUUCUACUUAAUAUGGUGAUAUCAAUUAAUCAAAAAUAUAUCUGAUGUGAGUAUUCAGUUUGAACUUUGUUUCUGCCAUAACACAGUGGCUCCAAGUUGCAUUUUUUCUGCUCGUCUUUUGUAUAGUCCUGUACAAUUUUGAUUUCCUUUUGUAGUAUAAAAUCUAAAAUACUAAGAUUUUUAUA